UUUCCUGAUUCCACUGGUCUCCAGAGGAGUUCCUCUGCAUGACUCCCUCCAGUUCAGCAAGAGUAUCUCCUGGGGUCGUGGAGUUUUCGAAGAAUUCUGGAAACAGCGGAUUCAUGGGAAAGACAAACAAUGAAUUCAUCAUUGAACUGAUACAAAGUGAACUAAACAGAACCAGGAAAACCGCACAGUGACCACAACAAUGUAAAUGGAAAGAAUGACAAAACAAUUGAAAACAGAUGUUGCUAAAUUAUAAAGAACAAUUAUGGUCCCAAAGAGAAAGUAUAAAAAAAAAAGAAAAACAUUUCCCCCUGCUCCUUUAUAGAGGUAAGGGUCCAUAGAAAAUUGCAUAGAACAUUAGGGGUUUUUUACCCCCUUUGUUGAUUGAUUUUUUUCUCUUUAAGGAAAUUCUUUAUAAUAAGAGAUGGCUUUCUUGGAGGGAAGAGAGGGAAGGAUGAAGGGAAAAGAUAGGCAAUGUAAAAACAAAACACAUCAAUGAAAUCUGUUUAAAAAAAGGAAAUGGGUAUCACACAGGGGCAAUGGAAAGGCACAUAGUAGUAGGAGUGAGUAGAGUGGAACUAGGAGGAGAAGCAGUAUAAAGAUUGUCAUUGAAGA